AAGUCAGAUGUGAAAGCCUUCUGUUCAACGGAAGAAUUGCAUCUGAAACUGCGAGUCUUGAGUGUAGGAGGGGAGAAUGGAACUUCUGGUGGAGCGGUGAAAUGCGUAGAUAUCAGAAGGAACGCCGGCGGCGAAAGCGAUUCUCUGGCCUAUUACUGACACUCAGUGUGCGAAAGCUAGGGGAGCAAACGGGAUUAGAUACCCCGGUAGUCCUAGCCGUAAACGAUGGGCGCUAAGUAGAGGGAAUUACCGAUAUUCUCUCUGCCGUGGCUAACGCAUUAAGUGCCCCGCCUGGGGAGUACGGCCGCAAGGCUAAAACUCAAAAGAAUUGACGGGGGCUCGCACAAGCGGUGGAGCAUGUGGCUUAAUUCGAUGCAACGCGAAAAACCUUACCGGGGCUUGACAUGAUAGAAGUAGGAACCCGAAAGGGUAACGAACGGUAUCCAGUCCGUAGCUAUUACAGGUGUUGCAUGGCUGUCGUCAGCUCGUGUCGUGAGACGUUGGGUUAAGUCCCCUAACGAGCGAAACCCUUGUUUUUAGUUGCCAGCGGGUUGUGCCGGGCACUCUAGAAAGACUGCCGUCGUCAAGACGGAGGAAGGUGGGGACGACGUCAAGUCAUCAUGGCCCUUAUGCCCCGGGCUGCACACGUGCUACAAUGGUCGGUACAAACGGAAGCGAAG
rnacentral:rRNA from 1 species